rnacentral:rRNA from 1 species
UACGAAGGGGCUAGCGUUGUUCGGAAUUACUGGGCGUAAAGCGUGCUCAGGCGGUUUUGUAAGUCAGAAGUGAAAUCCUAGAGCUUAACUCUGGAACUGCUUUUGAUACUGCAAGGCUUGAAUGUGGAAGAGGAGGAUGGAAUUUCUGGUGUAGCAGUGAAAUGGCGUAGAUAAUCAGAAAGAACACCAGUGGCGAAGGCGGUCCUCUGGUCCACUAUUGACGCUAAAGCACGAAAGCGUGGGGAGCAAACAGG